UGUUGGUUUCCACUUGGGCAUUUCUCAUGCUUGGAUGGCUAAUAUACUCCCUGCCUGGUUUACUCUUGAGAACCCGGCUUUCAUCUGCUGUGGGACACAGUAGCCUUUGCGUGAGUGCCUACGUGCACAUGUGUCCAUGGAGGCAGGGAGGGUGGACAGGCGUGUUUGUACACACACUGCACCAGCAGCACUUUUAAAGACAAGGAUCAUGACAAAAGCAACAGCAAGUGCACUUUCUUUUCCAAAUUACCCAAGGUUGUGUUUUAAAAAUAGUAAUAUCACUUCAAGUGUUUUGCACUUGGCUUGGUGAAACAAAAUGUGAGUUAAAACUGUGGAAUAUUAAAGCAUUAUUCUUGACACACCUAUAAUAUGAGACACUCCAUUGAUGUGGAUAGCAUAUAUGCAGACAACAAGCAUUGAUGUUGUACUUCCAUCUAUAGAUAGAAGGGGGAUGUACCUUGGUAUGGGAGUUUUGCACUUAGGCAAAGUCUUAGUUCUCAACCAGAGCUGAUUUUGCUCAGUCUCAGAUCUCUGUUCUCAGUGAACAGAGUUAAAAACCAGCUUCCCUCUGCCCUUCACAUCUGUGGGUCCUAUGGUUGAGGAUUUUUAUGUAUUGUUUUUCUUUGGGGUCCUGAUAAAGCUUAGAUAACCAAACAUAGAAUUUUUAAAGGUGAUUGUGAAUAUAAAGAACUAAGGAGUGCCUUACCCUGAUCCAUUCUUUACACAAGCAGCCCCAGUCAGGGAACCCUAUGCCAGGGGAGGAAUUGGGCCUCAGCAUGGCCAAGUCUUGGCAAAGACCACUAUGGCAGCAGUGUCUGAAAAAGGAGAAGAGUCCAAGGAGGGAGGAAAUGACUAGGAGGCUGCUAGAGCCUUCCCUCAGCACCAUGUUCUACUCACAGACCAAUGUAGUAAAAAUGAUUUGUAUUUCCUUGUUCCUUUUUAAAUUUUUGAAAAAAAAUUUC
rnacentral:lncRNA from 1 species